rnacentral:rRNA from 1 species
UAUGUGAUCGUCUCUCGCAUAUCAAUAAGCGGAGGAAAAGAAACUAACAAGGAUUCCCCUAGUAACGGCGAGUGAAGCGGGAAGAGCUCAAAUUUGAAAUCUUAAAGGGUUUCCCUUUACGAAUUGUAGUUUAAAGAAGUGUUUUCUGUUGAGGUUUUGGUAAAAGUUCUUUGGAAUAGGACAUCAUAGAGGGUGAGAAUCCCGUAUUUGACCUUUACUUUCAACUUUGUGAUACACUUUCAAAGAGUCGGAUUGUUUGGGAAUGCAGUCCAAAAUGGGUGGUAAAUUUCAUCUAAAGCUAAAUAUUGGCGAGAGACCGAUAGGCGAACAAGUACCGUGAGGGAAAGAUGAAAAGAACUUUGAAAAGAGAGUUAAACAGUACGUGAAAUUGUCAAAAGGGAAGCGUUUGACACCAGUGUUGUUUUUCUGAAAAUCAAUUAAAGAACUGUUUAUGCUAAGCUGUUUAGACUUUAUCAGCUAACUGUUUAGUUUUGAGCUUUUCUUUAAUGCACUUUUCAGUUAACAAGUCAACAUCAAUUUCUUUUGCUGUAAAAAAGCUUGAGGAAGGUGGCUUGAGAUUCGUCUUAAGUGUUUAUAGCCUCUUGCCUAUGCAGUCGGAGAGAUUGAGGUCUGCAGCGUAGAUCCUUCGGGGCUAAAUGCAUUUGUGCUAAGUUAUAGCACUUUAUAGACAACUUGUUGACUAUGAUUUGUCUUGUAGCUUACUCGCUUAUGUUAUUUUACCUACGCUUAGGAUGUUGACACACGCGCGUGCUCGACUCUAUACAUGACUCUGUGCAUAUCAAUAAGCGGAGGAAAAGUAAAUGCUGUAUACCUACGCUUAGGAUGUUGACACACGCGCGUGCUCG